GACGUAGGGCGCGAGCGUUGUCCGGAUUUAUUGGGCGUAAAGAGCUCGUAGGCGGCUUGUCGCGUCGACCGUGAAAACUUGGGGCUCAACCCCAAGCCUGCGGUCGAUACGGGCAGGCUAGAGUUCGGUAGGGGAGACUGGAAUUCCUGGUGUAGCGGUGAAAUGCGCAGAUAUCAGGAGGAACACCGGUGGCGAAGGCGGGUCUCUGGGCCGAUAUUGACGCUGAGGAGCGAAAGCGUGGGGAGCAAACAGG
rnacentral:rRNA from 1 species